GUGAUAGACCUUUAGAUUGAAUUUUUUUUUACUUGUCCAUAGGCUAGGUACAGCAUGUGAAGUGGCAGUGCACGCUACCUCCACAAAUGCUCUGCCAAUAUUCCUCAACCCUCAUCUGAAAGGACCCACCUUUAGAGGUGAGGGAACUGAGUCUCCAUGCUAAUUCACCAUUUGAUCCCU
rnacentral:sRNA from 1 species